rnacentral:rRNA from 1 species
UACGUAGGGUGCGAGCGUUAAUCGGAAUUACUGGGCGUAAAGCGUGCGCAGGCGGUUGGCAAAGUCAGCUGUGAAAGCCCCGGGCUUAACCUGGGAAUGGCGGUUGAAACUAGUCGACUCGAAUCUGGCAGAGGGGGGUGGAAUUCCGACGUGUAGCAGUGAAAUGCGUAGAGAUGAUGGAGGAACACCGAUGGCGAAGGCAGCCCCUGGGCUGAGAUUGACGCGCUCGAGGCACGGAAAGCGUGGGGAGCAAACAGG